rnacentral:rRNA from 1 species
CCUACGGGAGGCAGCAGUGGGGAAUCUUGCGCAAUGGGCGAAAGCCUGACGCAGCAACGCCGCGUGCGGGAAGAAGGCUUUCGGGCUGUAAACCGCUUUCAGCAGGAACGAAAAUGACGGUACCUGCAGAAGAAGGAGCGGCCAACUAUGUGCCAGCAGCCGCGGUGAUACAUAGGCUUCAAGCGUUGUCCGGAUUUAUUGGGCGUAAAGAGUUCGUAGGCGGUCAAGUAAGUCGGGUGUGAAAAUUCUGGGCUCAACCCAGAGACGCCACCCGAUACUGCUUAACUUGAGUUCGAUAGGGGAGUGGGGAAUUCCUAGUGUAGCGGUGAAAUGCGCAGAUAUUAGGAGGAACACCGGUGGCGAAGGCGCCACUCUGGAUCGAUACUGACGCUGAGGAACGAAAGCAUGGGUAGCAAACAGGAUUAGAUACCCUGGUAGUCCAUGCCGUAAACGGUGGGCACUAGGUGUGGGUUUCUAUUAACGAAAUCCGCGCCGUCGCUAACGCAUUAAGUGCCCCGCCUGGGGGAGGUACGGUCGCGACGACGUAAACGUACAAUAGAAGUUAAGUACGGUCGUUGAGUACGUUGCCGAACGGACGACGACGAGGGAGGAGG